CUUCAACGAGCCCAACCACAGCGGCUCAUCGCGGUCCUGGCCGUAGGUGGCCAGCAACGCCUCGGCUUC
rnacentral:antisense_RNA from 1 species